UACGUAGGGUGCAGGCGUUAAUCGGAAUUACUGGGCGUAAAGCGUGCGCAGGCGGCUCCUUAAGUCAGAUGUGAAAUCCCCGGGCUUAACUUGGGAACUGCGUUUGAAACUGGGGAGCUCGAGUGUGGAAGAGGGGGGUGGAAUUCCAGGUGUAGCAGUGAAAUGCGUAGAGAUCUGGAGGAACACCGAUGGCGAAGGCAGCCCCCUGGGCUAACACUGACGCUCAUGCACGAAAGCGUGGGGAGCAAACAGG
rnacentral:rRNA from 1 species